CCUACGGGAGGCAGCAGUGGGGAAUAUUGCACAAUGGGCGAAAGCCUUAUUCAUCAACUCCUCUUUAAUUAAUAAUUUUUUCUUCUCUUACACUUCUAUUAACAGGGACGAAAGAAAUGACGGUACCUGAAUAAGAAGCCCCGGCUAACUACGUGCCAGCAGCCGCGGUAAUACGUAGGGGGCAAGCGUUAUCCGGAAUUACUGGGUGUAAAGGGUGAGUAGGCGGCAUGGUAAGCCAGAUGUGAAAGCCUUGGGCUUAACCCGAGGAUUGCAUUUGGAACUAUCAAGCUAGAGUACAGGAGAGGAAAGCGGAAUUCCUAGUGUAGCGGUGAAAUGCGUAGAUAUUAGGAAGAACACCAGUGGCGAAGGCGGCUUUCUGGACUGAAACUGACGCUGAGGCACGAAAGCGUGGGGAGCGAACAGGAUUAGAUACCCGAGUAGUC
rnacentral:rRNA from 1 species